CAUUUAGGAACCUGACUUUUCAAGGGUAGCGGAGGCCAAAGAUGUCCCAGCUUUUUAUGGUGCAGAGACACUUCUAAACAUCCCAGACUUGGGUAGCAAUCAAAAUGAAAGACUUUUGAAGAAGAGCUCCCUUCUCCCUUUUCCUUUUCUCUGAGAAGACGUUUGUGUUUGACAACCCCAAAUAACAAUCCUGGCUCUGUCAGCUGCGACCCAAUCAGCAAUUCCUCUCACGUCUCACCUGAACAUCAUUGAACAUUUGCCUUUUGAUGCUUGGAUGAUGCUACAUUAGCCUCUUCUAGUGCUAAAUCACCAGGUUCUCUAGCAUGGAAUGCCCAUGACA